GUCAGCGUGGCAAAAUGGUUUGAAAGCUGGACUAUGACUCUGGAGACCAGGGUUCGAUUCCCAGCUCAGCCA